rnacentral:rRNA from 1 species
AGAGUUUGAUCAUGGCUCAGGACGAACGCUGGCGGCGUGCUUAACACAUGCAAGUCGAACGGAAAGGCCCUUCGGGGUACUCGAGUGGCGAACGGGUGAGUAACACGUGGGUGAUCUGCCCUGCACUUUGGGAUAAGCCUGGGAAACUGGGUCUAAUACCGAAUAGGACCACGCGCUUCAUGGUGUGUGGUGGAAAGCUUUUGCGGUGUGGGAUGGGCCCGCGGCCUAUCAGCUUGUUGGUGGGGUAAUGGCCUACCAAGGCGACGACGGGUAGCCGGCCUGAGAGGGUGACCGGCCACACUGGGACUGAGAUACGGCCCAGACUCCUACGGGAGGCAGCAGUGGGGAAUAUUGCACAAUGGGCGCAAGCCUGAUGCAGCGACGCCGCGUGAGGGAUGACGGCCUUCGGGUUGUAAACCUCUUUCAAUAGGGACGAAGCGCAAGUGACGGUACCUAUAGAAGAAGCACCGGCCAACUACGUGCCAGCAGCCGCGGUAAUACGUAGGGUGCGAGCGUUAAUCGGAAUUACUGGGCGUAAAGAGCUCGUAGGUGGUUUGUCGCGUUGUUCGUGAAAACUCACAGCUUAACUGUGGGCGUGCGGGCGAUACGGGCAGACUAGAGUACUGCAGGGGAGACUGGAAUUCCUGGUGUAGCGGUGGAAUGCGCAGAUAUCAGGAGGAACACCGGUGGCGAAGGCGGGUCUCUGGGCAGUAACUGACGCUGAGGAGCGAAAGCGUGGGGAGCGAACAGGAUUAGAUACCCUGGUAGUCCAA